AUUCCCCCGAGUCGGCCCGCGGGCUACGGCCGCCUGCGGAGCGCAGGAACCUUCACCUCCCGAGGACAGGCGCCUUCCCCUCGGGACCCGGCUCCCCUGCUGCCUGCGCCGCUCUGUCCCCCUGCCGCUGCCCAAGCCUCCAGCAGGGGCCACCGAGGGCUCCAGGAGCACCCCAGGCCCGUUCUUCUGGCCCACAGCGCCCCUCCUGUGACCCUCAGCGACCCUCCUGUCCUGCCCUCCGGCGGCGCGGCUGUCUGGAGACUCUGCACCGUCGCGGCCUCGCAGCCUCGCAGCCCCGCGCCGGGUGGGGAGGGGAGGGUGGCGUUCCUGAGUCCGCGGAGGAAAGGGUCGCAGCUGCAGUCGCGCCAGCCCUCGGGCCUACAUCCGCUCCGCCGCGACGCGGCUCACAAACUAGGGAGGGGAGAAGGGAAGAAAGACCCGAUUCGGGAACACGGCUUUGUCCCUGGAACUGUACCUCAUGUCCCCUCACUUAAUCCUCCCAAGACCUGUGGGGCGUGUCGUCAUUUUAGGGCUGGAGAUGAGGAAACCGAGGCUCGGAGAGAUGAAGCGUUGUACGGCCACCGAGCGGCUGCUUUGCAACGAAGCCAAAGCCAACGUUUUGUUCUUAGCGGCGGUCGUUUGAGCCACGCCUCACCGCAACGAGUCUGCCAUCAGCCAAGAGGUCACAUCUUUUCUGGAACUCGCUCCCCCCUCACAUCAUGGGAGCAGUCAGUCUACUCUUCCAGUAGAAACUGUUUUGCCACUUUUGGGGGGAAUCUUGAGCUACCAGCUCAUCGCUCAGGUCUUAGAUGACACUUUCCUUGACCCCACCGGGUGCUCCAGCGCCUCUGCUUCCGGUUUUCAUAGCCCUUAUAAUAUCACCUAUUGCAAUUGCCCAUUUCCUUGUCUGUCUCCCUCUGCAGAUGGAGUGAAGGUACCUGAGCGCAGGAACCAUGGUCUUCAUUGCUGCCUCAGCAUUAGCGGAAGUGCCACGGGCCGGCUCCCAGGGGGCCAGAGUUUCCCAGGAACACCAUUGAGUACCACUGAACUAGAGUCUGCAAGUUAAAGUAAGGCAAGAAGGAAAACCGGAAACAACUGUAAAAACCUGACCUUUCGUCACCUUAAUACUGGCCAUCAUUUAUCGAGUGCUUAUUAUGUAACAGACAUUGUUCUCAGUGUGUGAGUGCAGUGUUCCUCAAACCUAAAUGUGGGCCUGAAUCGCAGCGGAUCUUGGUAAAAUGCAGUUUCUCAUUCAGUACCUCUGGGGUGCGGCCUGAGAUUCUGCAUUUCCAACAAGCUCCCAGGAUACUUUGUAUAGAAAGGCUUUGGUGUAUUAACUAACUCGAUCUUCUUAAUAAUCCUAUGAAAUACUACUGCUAUUCCCAUUUUACAGAUGAGGAAACAGAGGUUAAGCAUAUAUGAACUUACAUCAAAAUAAAUAGACUGCAGGGCAAGGAGGGAGGGGAGAAUAGUGUGGGCAGUGUACAGUGCAGAAACAAAGUUCUAGGCAGAGGAAAAAGGAUUUACAGAAAGCCUGGCAUACAGGGCAGGGGGACGGGGCCUGCACACGGGGCUGUUUCACCGUUAGACGUUAUAAGCACAGUACUUGGGGCUAUGGGCUUCCUGAAGGUCCCAAGUAUUUGAGACCUGAAAAAAAUUUAUUGACACCUACAUAGGAAAAGUGAACUUUUAAAUUAAUAAUUCCAAAAUUCAAAUCACGAAUUGUUUCAAAAAUUUUACAUGAUAGAAUUCAUAUUUAGUAAGCGAUACGGGUAUAUUUUAAUGCAUUUGAUUUUAAAAACGGGGUAGGGCCUACUAAGAACAGGCCAAGCCCUGGCCCCAGUGGGUUUGGAUAUAAUCCUGAGGGCAGCUGGGAACCACUGAGAGAAGCAGGAGAAUGUUCUCUGUGGCUACAGUGAGGAGAAUGGAUUGGAGGGAGGCCAGACUGGAGGCCCAGUGGCUAGAGACCAGAUAGGCAGUUACAGUCUUCCAGACUGCGAGACAAUCUCUCUUUAGUGCCAAGAUUAGCAUAAAAUCAUAGCAUUAUAUAACCCAAUUAUUCUUUGAUUCCUGCAUCCCCAAUCUGACUCAGCAUUCUAAAUUUACUUAAGAUCUGGGGACAAGGGUUUUUGGCAAAUCCUUGAAGGCAAAUGAUGUUACAGUCAAUCAGUAUAUGCCUUGAGCCAGACAGACAUGGGUACGGGCCUCAGUUCUGCUGCUUGCUAGCUAUGUGACUUUGCACAAGUGAUUUAACUUCUCUGGGCCUUGGAUUCCUUACUGGUAACACGAGCAUAAUCGAUUCCUCACAGAAUUAAGUGAGAAAACUAUGUAUGUAGGACUUCUUAUGGAGUGGGUACUUAGAAAUAAAUGGUAGCCGUUAUCAUUUAUGUGCCUUUGUUCUGAAAUCUGCUUAAGUUUUCUCUAGGAAGUAACAGAGGGUAGAAUAAAUUAUUUAGUAUUUUCAU
rnacentral:lncRNA from 1 species